CUUGGUUGAUCCUACCAAUAGUCAUAUGUUUGUCUUGAAGAUUAAGCCAUGCUUGUGUAAGUAUGAACAAAUUCAGACUAUGAAACUAUCAAUGGCUCAUUAAAUCAGUUAUAGUCUAUUUGAUACUAUCUACUAUUCAGAUAACCAUAGUAAUUCUAAAGCUAAUAGAUGUAACAAACCCUAACAUUUGGAAGGGAUGCAUUUAUUAGAUAAAAGGUCAAUAUGGGCUUUGCUCACUGCUCUAAUGAUUCAUGAUAACUUGGCGGAUCGCACAACCUUUUGUGCCAAUAAUGCGUCAUUCAAAUUUCUACCCUAUCAACUUUCAAUAGUAGGAUAGUGGCCUACUAUGGUGGUGAUGGGUGAUAGAGAAUUAGGGUUUGAUUCUAAAGAGGUAGCCUAAGAAAUAGCUACCACAUCCAAGGAAGGCAACAGGUGUGCAAAUUACCCAAUCUUGACAUGGAAAAGUAGUGACAAUAAAUAACAAUACUGAGCUCAUGAGUUUAGUAAUUCAAAUAAAUACAAUCUAAAUCCCUUAAUGAGGAUCCAUUGAAGGGCAAGUCUAGUGCCAGUAGCCAUGAUAAUCCCAUCUCCAAUAGCAUGUAUUUAAGUUGUUACAUUAAACAACUCAUAGUUAGAACUAGGGGUGGGUCAUCCUAUUUGUUUGAUGAUGAGAACCAAUUUACUUAUCCCUACUACUGACGAUGCACUCAUGGUAUUAAUUGAUUGGGUUGUUCCUCUGGUGCUAUUACUUUGAAUAAAUUAGAGUGCUCAAAGCAGGCCAUCCUUAUAUAAAUUAGCAUGGGAUAACAAUAUAGGAUUUUAGUCCUAUUGUGUUGGCUUUUGGGAUAUGAGUAAUGAUUACCAAGGACAAUCGAAAGCAGUCAUAUUUCAUAGUCAAAGGUGAAAUUCUUGGAUUUAUGAAAGAUGAAAAACUAUGAAAGCAUAUGCUAAGGAUGUUUUAAGUAAUCAAGAAUGAAUGUUGAGGGCUUGAAGAUGAUCAGAUACCAUCUUAGUCCUAACCAUAAACGAUGCUGACCAGGGAUCGAUGGAUGUUACUUUUAGGACUAUGCUAGCACCUUAUGAGAAACCAAUGUCUUUGGGUUCUAGGAGGAGCAUGGUUGCAAGGCUGAAACUUGAAAGAGUUGACAAAAGGGCACCAUCAGGAGUGGAGCCUACGACUUAAUUUGACUUAACGUGGGAAACUUUCCCAGUCCAAACAUAGUAAGGAUUGAUAGAUUGAGAGCUCUUUCUUGAUUUUAUGGGUGAUGGUGCAUGGUUGUUCUUAGUUGCUAGAGAGAUUUGUCUAGUUAAUUCCAUUAAUGAAUGAGACCUCAGCCAGCUAAAUACAUGGAGGUGAUCCUUUAUGGCUAGCUUUUUAGUGGGACUAUAGCCGCUUAGGCCAAGUAAGUUUAAGGUAAUAAUAGGCUUAUGAUGCCGUUAGAUGUUCUGAGCCACAUGCAUAAUACGCUAACUUAUUCAACGAGUCUGUAGCCUUGGUCGACAGGCUCGAGUUAUCUUUGAAAUUUUGUCAUGAUGGGGAUAGGUCAUUGCAAUUGUUGGUCUCCGAUGAAGAAUUCCUAGCAAGCAUGAGUCAUUAGCUCGUGUUGACUAUAUCUCUGCCCUUUGUAGACACCGUCAUCACUCUGAUGAAAUGUUCAUAUUAUGGUGACAUGGAUGGUUUCUGCCUAUGACAUUAUGAGAAGUCCACUAAGCCUUAUUAUUUAGACAAAGGAGAAAUGGUAACAAGAUUUCUAUAGGUGAACCUAUGCAAG
rnacentral:rRNA from 1 species